AAGCUUAUGAUGAGAAAACUUAAAUAUCUUAGCGGAUUUCAGUGAGACUGUUGUGUCAAUGAUCUGAUUGUUACACACACUGAGGCUC